CCUACGGGAGGCAGCAGUGGGGAAUAUUGGGCAAUGGGCGCAAGCCUGACCCAGCAACGCCGCGUGAAGGAAGAAGGCUUUCGGGUUGUAAACUUCUUUUGUCAGGGAAGAGUAGAAGACGGUACCUGACGAAUAAGCCACGGCUACCUACGUGCCAGCAGCCGCGGUAAUACGUAGGUGGCAAGCGUUUUCCGGAUUUACUGGGUGUAAAGGGCGUUGAGCCGGGUUGACAAGUCAGACGUGAAAUCCUGCGGCUUAACCGCAGACCUGCAUUUGAAACUGUUUAUCUUGAGUACUGGAGAGGCAGAUGGAAUGCCUAGUGUAGCGGUGAAAUGCGUAGAUAUUAGGAGGAACACCAGUGGCGAAGGCGGUCUGCUGGACAGCAACUGACGGUGAGGCGCGAAAGCGUGGGGAGCAAACAGGAUUAGAUACCCGAGUAGUC
rnacentral:rRNA from 1 species